rnacentral:lncRNA from 1 species
GGGAAUUGGGUUUGAAGGAGAAAGUGAGAUUUUGGUGUUUGGUGGGAAGUGGGGUUGGGAAGAAAGAACAAGUUUUGAGAUGAAUGGAACUGAAGAUGGUAUUCAUCAACAUUUUCAUUGGGUGGACAUCACUGGUUAGGAGGGGGAGAAAGUGCAGAAGGAAGGUUUAUUGGUAAAGGCGAGGACACUUCAAUGAGUUCAAUCGCAUCAUAAUCCAUCUACAGAAUAUUACUUUUUCCCUUAAUAAAUAAGCGACUAGCG